rnacentral:rRNA from 1 species
CCCUUAGAUGUUCUGGGCCGCACGCGCGCUACACUGAAGGGAUCAGCGUGUUUUCCCUUCCCGAGAGGGACGGGUAACCCGCUGAACCCCCUUCGUGGUAGGGAUCGGAGCUUGCAAUUGUUCUCCGUGAACCAGGAAUUCCCAGUAAGCGCAAGUCACAAGCUUGCGUUGAUUACGUCCCUGCCCUUUGUACACACCGCCCGUCGCUACUACCGAUUGAACGUUUUAGUGAGGUAUUUGGACUGGGCCUUGGGAGGUUUCGGCCUCCCUUGUUGCUCGGAAAGACUCCCAAACUUGAGCGUUUAGAGGAAGUAAAAGUCGUAACA